AGCCGAGUACUUCGGUAG
rnacentral:snRNA from 1 species